ACCUUCGGGAGGGCGCUUACCACUUUGUGAUCCAUGACUGGGGUGAAGUCGUAACAAGGUAACCGUAGGGGAACCUGCGGUUGGAUCACCUCCUUA
rnacentral:rRNA from 1 species